GCAACGAUCGCGAUAUUCAGUGUGUAUGUUGUAAAUAAUCCUGGGGGGGGGGUUCAUGUACCAGUAUGACAAUUAUGUACACAGAGCAGAAGCAGAGAAAACAUUCAGAUAUCCUUUAGAUUUUUGUGUUAAAGAUCCACGAUGAGAAAGUUGUAUCAUUUGGUCAACGCGAUGGAAUCCGAGUGGGCAAUGCUGUCCAUCAAUGGAUUGGACGUCAACGGUAAGUUCACGGCAGAUGGGAAGGAGAUCAUCGAAUACUUGAACGACUCAACAAACUAUCUAUCCGUUGUCCAUACUGAAGGGCUCGCAUGAGCUCCAAUGAAAAACUGUUGAUGGCUUCAAUGUUUCAUUCGUAAGUAGUUACACUUCUCGUAAGUAGGUACACUUCUCAGGUGAUUACAACUGUCAGCUCUGACAUUAAUAAAUCCUUUGGUCUAUGGUUACAUUUGCUUUUCCAUGAUCUUGCUACAUGUUGUGUUGUACUUUUCCUAGGUUGUUUGCUAUUGGUUCACAGCUGUCCCCUGAAGUUGGCAGUACAGGAAUUGUAUUGCUGGAGACAGAUAUGUUCAAACGGCACUGCUUUCAUACACUCGCUGGUAUAGAGUUCAUUGUGCUGACAGACCCCCGGCAGUCUGGCAUUGAUGCACUCCUGGGGAAGAUUUACGAGAUCUAUUCAGACUUCACCCUCAAGAACCCCUUCUACUCUUUGGAGAUGCCUAUCAGGUAACUUUCACAUGUCAAAUAUCUGCCCUCUGUCACAUGAGUCUCUAUCAGUUAUCCAUUUCAUUGAUGAGCAAUCAUGGCAAGAUAUAUAUUGCCCUCUCUUGUUACAGGUUUGAACUCUUUGAUCAGAUUUUUAAGGUUGCAUUUGAGAUACCAGCUUUAUCUGCUAACUUUGGACCUGGAUCUUGAGUAGGAACAAGGAUUAAUUGCUCCUGAAAUGUUGUUGUUGUUGAACCAAUCAUUGAAUUGUGUUUGUUAUGACUGGGAAGCUACAGUACAAGCAUAUGGGUCAACAUGUCUCCAAGCAGUGCUGCUAUUUCAGAACUAAUGUUUUUUUUUUUUUAACUAGCAAGUCAGGUAAGAGCAAAUUCUUAUUUUACAAUGACGGCGAAACCCAGACGACGCUGGGCCAAUUGUGCGCCGCCCUAUGGGACUCCCGAUCACGGCCGGUUGUGAUACAGCCCGGGAUCGAAUCGGGGUCUGUAGUGAUGCCUCUAGCACUAAGAUGCAGUGCCUUAGACCACUGCCUUAGACUGCUGUGCCACUCAGGAGCCUUGAUUAACUUGUAUAUGAUACGGAUAUGUUCUACUGGGAUACAAUGUAAAUACAGAUUUGAAAAACAAAAUUGUACAUACUUUAAGAAUGAACACCACUAUGUAAUGUUUUCAUAUCUCAUCUCUCUUUUCAAUGCAAUCCUUUAGAAGUAAAGAUAAGCACAACAUAAGGUAUUUUAUUCAAGUCUUUUAUCGAAUCAAAAAGAUUGCACCCAUAUAAGGAGAUGUGUCAAGUGCCAUUUUCAGUAAUGAACCGUACAUUAAAGUGCCUUGGUUUCGAAUGAUAAGAUUAUGCUCAAAUUAAAAUCAUAUUGACACACAUUUUCAAUAAUUAAAUCUUAGAUUUAUUUUAAGCCAUGAGCAUUGAAAAUAGUUUUAAGUAGCACAACAUAGUUGAUGUACUUGCACCUGAAUACUGUCUUAAUACAUCUUCAGUGAAAAUAAAUAAUCCCUGGAUCAACUCCAUGUCUCACCAUCUCUUAAAACAAGAAUAUACAGAAUGAUGUCUCCUGUCAAUUCCAAAACACUUCACAAAUAAGAAAAUGUACAUUCUUAUCCUAAGUUUCCCAUAUUGGCAACAGAGAGUUAUGAGGUGUAAUAAUCAGUCCGCCUUCCUUGGGAUGUGACCCAUCUUGGUUCUGAUGUUCCUAAGCAAGAAGAAGCUGAUGGUAGUGACGAGACAGGUGAUCUCUGCUACCCAGAAGGCCAUUUCCCAGCCGUGGUGCUUGGCGAUGGUGCUGAAUGGCAGUCCAGAGCAGAAGCCACCAACUGAUAACAAUACAGGGAUGUCAAUUAGGCUGGUUCUCAUAAAUAAUAGGAUAUACAGAUUUAGUCAUUGAACUACAUGUCUGGUACUGCUAGUAAAGCCAAGACAUUACACAAAAAUGUGUGAAAAGCAUUCAUUAGAAUUUGAGACAUUUAGGUUGAGAUUAGUGCAACGAUAGCAUGUGAUGUUCCACAAUAGUUUGAAGGAGCACUCUCUUUGGCUAUCACGCCAAACAAGGCUAUUGGUCCGUAAGAUGAGAAGCCAAAAGUAGCCCCCAAGAAGAAGAUCCAUAUCAAUUUAUAACAUAAAAAAGAAAGACUGAUAGUGUACUGGCUCUGAAAGGAGAUUUGAGGAACACAAUGUCUUUACUAUACCUUGGCUGUCUGGAGUGACAGUGACCCAGAAUAGAUACAUGGAACCAAAUAUCCCAGCCAUCAUGGAGAUCAAGAGAAUUUUUAGAAUUUUACUAGGCAAGUCAGUUAAGAACAAAUUCUUAUUUUAGAUGAUGGCCUAGGAACAGUGGGUUAACUGCCUGUUCAGGGGCAGAACGACAGAUUUGUACCUUGUCAGCUCAGGGAUUCAAGCUUGCAACUUUUCGGUCACUAGUCCGACGCUCUAACCACAAGGCUACCCUGCCGACGGGGGUUUCCAUGGCUUUGUACAGCCUGGCUGUACAAAAAUGAAUAUAGUACCUAACAAACACUGCUUUGAUUUUUUAUAGAUCUCUGAAUUAAUGUAUGAUGCCACUGUCAACCCACUUGUGCCACAGCCUUGUCAGUGAAGUAUCCUGCAGCUAAACUGCCCAACAGGCCUCCAACCUCCCAGGGCACUCAUGUAGGAACUGCCUGUGAAAAAGAGCUGCAUUCAGGCAAACCUAACAAGAAUCAAUUAUUAUUGAGUUAUCAACAGUAAGCUAUUGCACACUAGUAAAACAGGCAGGUUAGCGUUUUCCGUCACGUAUCUUGUUCUGGAGGUAGCUCUGCAGAGUGGUCACUAACGGGCUCAGCCACAGUCAUAAAAUCUGAUUUUAAACCUAACCUUAACCACACUGCUAACCAUAAUGCCUGACCCUAACCUUAAAUUAAUACCAAAAAGCACAUUUUUGAUUUCAUGAAUUGUCACAAUAUAGCUAAAUUUGGACUUUGCAGCUGGCCUACCUACGGGGAACUUGCUGUUCUGCCUCCAGGACAAGACAUGAAAAUAGACAUCAACCUGCAUAAAACAGUGGUACAACGCCGGUGUUAAUGUUUCAGACUUCCAAACCAAUGAGUGUUGACUGGCCCUUGUCCUGGAUGAGGAAGAGCUGGCCCCAGUCAGUGCAGGCCGUCUUCACCCCGAAUACCACCAGGUAGCCCACAGACAGCAGCCACAGGUAGCGGGACAGGAUGAACUCUUUGAAGGUGGUCUCAUCACUGGGUGAGCCUGGUAAGGGAGAGAGGUUAAAGUCACACUAGCUCAUAGCUUAGAGAGUGGCUCCCGAGUGGCGCAGCAGUCUAAGGCACUGCAUCUCAGUGCUACAGGUGUCACUACAGACCCUGGUUUGAUUCCAGGCUGUAUCACAACCGACCGUGAUUGGGAGUCCCAUAGGGCAGCGCACAAUUGGCCCAGCGUCGUCCAGGUUAGGGUUUGACCGGGGUAGGCCGUAAUUUUAAAUAAGAAUUUGUUCUUAACGGACUUGCCUAGUUAAGUAAAGGUAAAAUAAAAUCUUGAACUCGUUCACACUAGCAGAGUGUCACUGAUUUUACACACAAUUUCACAUGCAGACAAUACUCAGAAAAGCAUGUGUUCAAAUGAAAACCUGUGCAUAUCACAUUCACACACAUUUUGAAAUGUUUCAACCACAGAACCAAAUGAGGUAAGCUCCAAGCUCUGACCUGCUUUGACCUUCUAGC